rnacentral:tRNA from 1 species
GCGCUCGUAGCUCAACGGAUAGAGCACUUGUCUUCGGAACAAGGGGUUGGGGGUUCGAUUCCCUCCGAGCGCACAA